rnacentral:lncRNA from 1 species
GUCAAAUAAUUACCUGAAUCAGAGCCAGGACCCAAUCAUUUGAUUCUAAAUCUACUACUGUUUCCACUACACUGGGCCAGUCCUGCUGUAGUGAAAUCUAUUUCUUCUUCAACGAGAACAAAGGUCAGUCUCUUCCACAGAGACCAAGCUCUUGAUCACAUGCACUUGCGGGUUGGGAAGGUGUGAAACUGUAGAGCUCAGAUCAGGUCCAAAUCACUCCUUCUUCAUGCUUUCUUGUGCUUUGGAUGUAAGGGAGAGUUGGUCUGUCUUAUCCUUUACUUUCAGAGAGGACAGAGAGACAGCAUUUAUUCUUGAUGACACGAAAUGAGAGAUGAUGAAACAAAAUAGAAUGAGAUGCAGGGAAAACAUUGAAAACAGGGUAGAUGGAAGGCAUAUACAAGGAGUUAAAUAGAAUCUUUUUGAUAUACAGGCAGAUUUGGUUUGUGGAGGCAAUUAAGAAGUGAAAAUUAAUAUUUUCUUCUUUAAAGAUGACAAUUUUUAUUUAUAAAGCACUCCUUGCUGGAAUAAGCUCAAAGCAUUUAAUGGGCACUGGCUAAUUACCCCACCCAACAAUCUGGCAGCCAGGAAAAGAGAGAGAUAAUUAUCCCCAUUUUGCAGGCAAGGAGACCAAGCCACAGAAGAGUGGUGCCUUGCAUAAAACCAGAGAGCUGAAAAUAGAAGGCAAGCCUCCUAAUAGCACCCUUCCACUCCACUGUAUGUUUAUAGACGUAGACUCCUGAGAAAGGACAACACACUUGCUGGCCAGAAAAAAGCAGCCGUCACUCAUUGGGAACUACAGCUCCCAGCAGACACCAAGAAGACAGGGCUGUGCCCCUACUGCCCAUGCCAGAUUCCCAAAUAUGGAGAAGGACUGGAUUUUGGAAGAGGAACAGAAUGCUCACCCUUGAAAGAGAGGGAGAGACAGAGGGAGUAUGAGGGCCAGACAGGACUGGAAUAUCGGAAUGCUCUCUGAGUGACCCCGUAAGUCAGUACUCCAUCUGGCUUUUAUCUCAGUGGAUUUGACUAAGUCCGUGGAAGAACAGUAGCUGCUUCCAGGCAUGAAGGCUCAUUGUGUCCAGGUAGAAAAGAGUAUUGACUUGCUCAUUUAUUGAUUUAAACCUAGGAGUCACUCCCAAUUCUUUAGCCCCAAGAGGCCUCCUAAAAUAGAGAACAUUCACUGCUAUGGGGACUUACACUACUUCAGAUAGUGUGUUUGGUACCAGUGACUCGACUGGUUAGAAUGAAGCAGAGGGGCUGACAGCUGGAUGUAUGGGAAACUGCAUA